GUUGUAGAGGGUCUUGCACUGGAUGUCAGAGCAUCAGAAGCUAAAGCACUUUGCGCAGGAUCAUUUGCAGAAAUGAAACGCUUAAAUUUACUCCAAAUCAAUGGAGUACAUCUCACCGGAUCCUUCAAACUGCUUUCUAAAGAGUUGAUGUGGAUUUGUUGGCAUAGAUGUCCUUUGAAAGAUUUUCCAUCUGAUUUUACCGCAGACUAUCUAGCUGUUCUUGAUAUGCAGUACAGUAACCUCAAAGAACUAUGGAAGGGAAAAAAGGUGCGAAACAUGCUACAAUCCCCGAAAUUUCUCCUGUAUGUAAUUUAUAUUGACAUCUUAUGACUUUCUAUGAUUAAUUUUCAUUAUUUUACCCUCUAUUAUGACAGAUCCUCAACAGGCUAAAAAUCUUUAAUCUUAGUCAUUCUCGGAACCUUGUUAAAACACCAAACUUGCACAGUUCAAGUCUAGAGAAACUAAUUCUGAAAGGUUGCUCAAGUUUAGUUGAGGUGCAUCAAUCAAUUGGACAUUCGACGAGCCUCGUUUUCUUGAAUCUCAAGGGAUGUUGGAGUCUGAAGACUCUCCCUGAAAGCAUUAGGAAUGUAAAGUCUCUUGAAACUAUGAAAAUUUAUGGGUGUUCACAACUUGAGAAAUUGCCAGAAGGCAUGGGUGAUAUGAAAUUCUUAACUGAGCUAUUAGCUGAUGGGAUUAAAACUGAGCAAUUUCUCUCUUCAAUUGGGCAAUUAAAGUAUGUCAAAAGGUUAUCAUUACGUGGAUGCAGUCCGACUCCACCAAGUUGUUCUUUGAUUUCAGCAGGUGUUUCAAUUUUGAAAUGUUGGCUGCCAACAUCAUUCACUGAAUGGAGAUUAGUGAAACAUCUUAUGCUUUCUAAUUGUGGUUUGUCUGAUCGUGCAACUAACUGUGUUGAUUUUAGUGGUUUGUUCUCUCUAGAAAAAUUGGAUCUAAGUGAAAACAAAUUCUCUAGCCUGCCUUAUGGGAUCGGCUUCCUUCCCAAGCUAUCGCACUUGGUUGUUCAGACAUGUGAAUAUCUUGUAUCAAUCCCAGAUCUUCCCUCAAGUUUAUGCCUUUUGGAUGCAUCUUCUUGCAAAUCAUUGGAAAGAGUAAGAAUACCAAUCGAGUCAAAAAAAGAACUAUGUGUAAAUAUAUUUCAAAGUCUUUCGUUAGAAGAGAUUCAGGGCAUCGAAGGUCUAAAUAAUAGUUUCUGGAAUGUUAGUAUUGAAAGACGCAGUCAUUCACCAAAUAAAUUACAGAAGAGCGUUCUAGAGGUACUAUUUCUUUCAAUCUCUCUUGCAUAAGAAGAAACACACACAAUUGGCACAUAUUGAUUAAUGUCUAAAAUCGCAGCAUUCCUUGAAAUUAAUAUGUAUACAGGCAGUUAUUAUUAUUAUUAUUAUUAUUAUAUUUUAAAAAAUAAAUAUCAUCUUUAAUAAUAUUUUCUUAUUUUUCUUAUUUAAUCUAAAAAAUUAAAUAUUAUCUUUAAUAAUAUUUUUUAUUAAAUAUUUAAGUCUUUGGUUUUCUUUUUUAUUUCUUGAUUUUAUGAUAAUAUAUUUAUACAGGCAAUGUGCAACCGUGGUCACGGGUAUCGUAUUAACUUCAGUCUAGAACAUGAUGAACUACAUGAGAUGCCAGAUUGGAUGAGCUACAGGGGAGAAGGAUGCUCAUUGUCAUUCCAUAUACCUCCAGUCUUCCAUGGCUUAGUUCUUUGGUUAGAGAAGGGUACUCAUAUGUACACAUACACUAACAUUAUUAUUAUUAUAAGAAAUAAAAGCAACGGAAGAAUAUUGUUUAAAGAUAAACGAGCACAGAUAGGAAUACAUAUAUUUAUGCAGGGAUGGUUAAGAUACAUAAGUAGAAGUGAAAUGGCAAUGGAAGAUUACUGUGGAGACGAAUUGGAACUAUACAUUUCUUCAGAGCCAACAGACUAUGCACUGCGCAAGGGUAAAUCAUUGAAACCAAGCGUUAAAGAAUGUGGGGUCCAUGUGAUCGCAGGGAAGUCAGAUUCAUUAAAAAAGUCGGCAGUGGAAAGAGAUACAGUGAUGCUUUCACCACCGCUGUAUCAUCUGCUUCCUCAUCCUCAUCGUGGUUCAAUUACAACGUCUACACCUAAGCAAUGGUGUGACUUUUUACUUGCGGAGCUGCAAAACCAUAGCCUCGGUUUAUUGCUUCUUGGUAAGAACAAAUAUUUCCUUUAGUUAUUUUUAUUCUAUUCUAUUUAAUUUAUGAGAUUAAAUAUUAUCUUUAAUUAUUUCAUUAUUACUAUUUAAUAUAAAAAAUUAAAUAUCAUUUUUAAUAAUAAAAAAUUAAAUAUUUAAGGCUUUUUGGUAAGAAUACAUAUUUCCUUUAGUUAUUUCUAUUUUAUUCUAUUUGAUGGGAAUUUGUUCGUAAUAACAAAAUGCACAUGUUUAACUUUCUUUUCAAACUUGGAAGUUUUAUUGAAUUUGAUGGCUUUUGAAGGUAGAGAAGACUUGGAGUGAAGAGUACAAGAUCAUUUUAUAUAGAGAUGCUUGAAGUUACUUCAAAUUAGUACGGUACUUCUAUCUGAUGUAUUGAUAUGUAUUUGUUUGUUUGAAGAUUAUUUUCCAAGCUUGGAAGUUUUAUUGAAUACUCUUUGAAAUCUUUUCCAUCCGCUUUUAUAUUUUUAUAUUGGACAACCUAGUUGUUAAUUAUUAUCCAUGAUGUAAUUUAUAUUUUCAAGUUAUAAAUUUUGAUGAAUAUUGUUUCAUUUUUUUCCUCAUUUCAAAAGUUGAAAAUCCUUAUUUUAGUUAGAAAUAAAUUGGUUUUCUAGGAAGAGAUUAUUGAUUGGAAACAAGAGCAAAAGAAAAAAGCAAACACCCCAUUCGAUUUUCAUUCAGUAUAAGAGUGAGAAAGAGAGACGCCAAGGUGGUUCUCGAAUAUUUUGUUCUUUUUUGUCUCGCUCACUGGGGUAAAUACUUCAUCAUUUAAUGUUAUAAUUUAAAAUAAUUGAUGAAAAAGAAUUUUAUUCAAUCCCAAUCCCAAUCCCACAUUGUCUGUAGAAGUAUUUACUUUUGACUGUACACUUUGUUAUUUUCCAAUCCCUCCCCAGUUCUGCAACCAUUUCUCUACUUUCUAUGCUCUUGGCUUGCUAAAAACUAAAGAAAACACAUUGCUCUAGUUGCCUGCCUUCACUCUUCAGAUUGCUCAACAAAUCCCUUGAGACCUUCUCCAUAGUUAACACAUCACAUAAUGGCUACUCUAAAAAAUUUAGCCAUAAACAUUGAACACCUUAAGCAAUCAACGUGCCUUCCUUCACAAUAUGCAUCACCCAUAAAUCUUUCUUUUGGGAUGUCGCCGGGAGUUUAAAUUUCCGAGUGUAAAAAUUACUCAAUGAAAAAGCGAGCACUAACGCACCUUCUCCACAAACUACCAUAAAUAUAUAAAUAUAUUAUGAAAACAAGAUAAAAAGAAAUCUUUCGGUACAUCUAUAUAUAUAUAUUAUGGCUAUGAAAAUAGGUUUGUGGAAAUUUACAUCAUUUGAUCUUGACAGUGUCAGAUUAGACAAUUGCAUGGAAAUGGUCUUCUUAGUUUGCCGUGUGGAAAAUCAUGUCAUUUACGGGGCUGCUGGAGAGAGUGUCUAUUGAUAAUUUUAUCUUAUUUGCAUUGACCGGUAAUUUCACUCGAAAAUUUCUAGUAAUUUAAAAGCAAAUUUCUACUGACUAUUAUUGACUGGCUUCUUGCAAAGUAUUUGUAAGAAAGCUAAAGAAUUAAAGUUUUUUAAUUUUUAAAAUUGUAAGAAAAAAAUCAAUUAUUUUUAAAAUUGUUUUCAAAAAUAAAACACCAACUAUUUAUAUAAUAGCUAAAUCUAUUAAGAUAAAUCCAAAAUAACUAGUAAAAUCAGUGACUUGCAUUGACGGUGUAAUGAUCUGGAACCACUCGCAAUAAAUAAAGCCAAAAAAGGCAGACGAGUGUGUCUAUAUAUACAUAUAGGAACCGCUGAUUCGAUUUGAAUAUGUUAUUUGAUUAGUCUAAUUCAUGACUUGCAUUGACUCAAGAUUACCACUCAAGAUUUCGUGGUGCUUUCUCGGCCUGCAAAUGAAUAGAAAGCAUGUCGUUUUAACCUCAUUUCAAUAUCCUUGCUUUACUCUCCAGCUAGCCUGAUACAUAUGAGUCUCAAGACAUACGGCCAUUGAUAGAAAGGAGUGCUGAAGCAAAAUAUUUUUUUAUCUGUAGCGACCUCAAUAAUGUUAAAGCGUGGACCACCAUGAAAUUACCGCUCCAAAUUCCUUGUUCUUUCUAUAUUAUUAGAAAAAUUAUCAUUGACUAAUUUAAUUGGAAAUUAUUUGCGAGAAAGCUAAAAAGAAUUAAAGUUUUUUAAUUUAUAAAAUUAUAAUUUUAAAUUGUAAAAAAAUUCAAUUAUUUUAAAAAAUAAAACAUCAACUAUUUAUAUAAUAGCUAAAUAAAUCUAUUAAAAUAAAUUGAGAAUAACUAGUAAAAUCAAGCAAAUAAUCCAAAAAUAACAAGAAAAUAAAUAUAUUUCCUAGAUCUAAUUUGAUUAUAUUUAUUAUCUUGAUUGACUUACUUGUUAAGUCUUCGCUAAGCAUAAAUGAACUUUAAUCUAAGAAUCUGUUUUAUAUUUCUUCAUUUAUUAAUGAAAUAUUACUUCUACUGUAUAGUUUUUGGUUCCGAGUUGAUCCACCAGAUUAAUAGGUGAACAAUAUAUUUUGUCUCCACAGGUUAUAACAUCAUUUCAAUAUCUUUAAACAAAAUCUUUGUUAAACUGCACCAUUGGUAAUUGAUUAUGCCUUAAUUUCUGCAGCUGCCAGGACAGAGCCAGAGUCUUCUCGAUCUAGACCAGAAGGGGCCUAUGAUGUCUUCUUGAGUUUUAGAGGAGAAGACACUCGCAAGACAUUUACAGAUCAUCUCUACACUGCCUUAGUCCAAGCAGGAAUCCACACUUUUCGAGAUGAUGAUGAACUUCCGAGAGGAGAAGAAAUCUCCGAUCAUCUCCUCAGGGCAAUUCAAGAAUCAAAGAUAUCCAUAGUUGUCUUCUCAAAGGAUAUGCUUCUUCUAGAUGGUGUCUCAAUGAACUUGUAGAGAUUCUUAAGUGCGAAAAUAGGAAAACCGGUCAGAUUGUUCUUCCUAUAUUCUAUGACAUUGAUCCUUCAUAUGUCAGAAAACAGAAUGGCAGUUUUGCAGAAGCAUUUGUUAACCAUGAAGAGCGUUUUGAAGAGAAGUUGGUGAAGGAGUGGAGAAAAGCUCUUGAGGAGGCUGGAAAUCUAUCUGGAUGGAAUCUCAAUGAUAUGGCAAAUGGGUAUGCCUUUUCUCUCUAAAAUUCACUUGCAGACGUUUAUGGAGUAAUUCUACAUUACAUUUUUCAAUGUGAAGUAAUAAAAUAUUUCUUUUUAGCAUACUUAAUUGACUUGCUAUCGAUGACUUGCUUUUUUUCUGUGAGCAGGCAUGAAGCAAAAUUUAUCAAAGGGAUUAUCAAUGAUGUGUUGAAUAAAUUACGUCGCGAGUGCUUAUAUGUUCCUGAGCAUCUGGUAGGUAUGGAUCUUGCUCACGAUAUUUAUGACUUUCUAAGUACUGCAACAGAUGAUGUACGCAUUGUGGGCAUACAUGGGAUGCCAGGAAUAGGAAAGACGACUCUAGCAAAAGUUGUAUUUAAUCAACUCUGCUAUAGAUUCGAGGGAAGCUGCUUUCUUUCGAAUAUCAAUGAAAGUUCAAAACAAGUUAAUGGUCUUGUUCCUUUACAAAAGCAACUUCUUCAUGAUAUUUCAAAACAAGAUGUUGCUAACAUCAAUUGUGUCGAUAGAGGAAAGGUUAUGAUCAAAGAUCGACUUUGUCGCAAAAGAGUUCUUGUUGUUGCUGAUGAUGUGGCUCAUCUGGAACAGCAGAAUGCAUUGAUGGGAGAGCGAAGUUGGUUUGGUCCCGGAAGUAGAGUAAUCAUUACAACAAGAGAUUCAAAUCUUCUUCGUGAAGCAGAUCGAACAUAUCAGAUCGAAGAAUUGAAACCACAUGAGUCCCUUCAGCUUUUCAGCAGGCAUGCCUUUAAGGACUCCAAGCCAGCACAAGAUUAUAUUGAGCUUUCGAAGAAAGCCGCUGGUUACUGUGGAGGACUUCCUUCAGCUCUUGAGGUUACAGGAGCUCUUCUGUACAGGAAAAACAGAGGUAGAUGGGAAAGUGAAAUGGACAACUUGAGCAGAAUUCCAAACCAAGAUAUUCAAGGAAAGCUUCUAAUAAGUUAUCACGCACUUGAUGGUGAACUACAAAGGGCAUUCCUUGAUAUUGCAUGCUUCUUUAUUGGUAUAGAGAAAGAAUACGUCGCAAAAGUGCUAGGAGCCCGUUGCCGUCCCAAUCCAGAAGUUGUUUUGGAAACUCUCAGUGAAAGGUCUCUGAUUAAAAUAUUGGGAGAGACGGUAACCAUGCAUGAUCUAUUACGAGAGAUGGGAAGGGAGGUCGUUUGUAAAGCGUCCCCAAAAGAACCUGGAAAGAGGACCAGAAUUUGGAAUCAAAAGGAUGCAUGGAAUGUACUUCAACAGCAGAAGGUACGAGCUCAAUGCAUACAUGAAAGCGUAGUCAUGUGUAUUUUCUCAAUGCAAACAUGAAAGCAUAGUCAUGCGUAUUUUCUUGUCAAACUUAUUACAAAUAAUUGAAUGAAAGUUGUAUUGAUUUUUUUUUUAGGGUACGGAUGUUGUAGAGGGUCUUGCACUGGAUGUCAGAGCAUCAGAAGCUAAAUCACUUAGCGCAGGAUCAUUAGAAAAAAUGAAAUGCUUAAAUUUACUCCAAAUCAACGGAGCACAUCUCACCGGAUCCUUCAAACUGCUUUCUAAAGAGUUGAUGUGGAUUUGUUGGCAUGAAUGUCCUUUGAAAUAUUUUCCAUCUGAUUUUACCUUGGACAAUCUAGCUGUUCUUGAUAUGCAGUACAGUAACCUCAAAGAACUAUGGAAGGGAAAAAAGGUGCGAAACAUGCUGGAAUCCCCAAAAUUUCUCCAGCAUGUAAUUUAUAUUUACAUGUUAUGACUUUCUAUGAUUAAUUGUCAUUAUUUUACUCUCUCUUAUGACAGAUUCUCGACAAGCUAAAAAUCCUUAAUCUCAGUUAUUCUCAUCACCUUAUUAAAUCACCAAAGUUGCACAGUUCAAUUCUAGAGAAACUAAUUCUGAAAGGUUGCUCAAGUUUAGUUGAGGUGCAUCAAUCAAUUGGACAUUCGACGAGCCUCGUUUUCUUGAAUCUCGAGGGAUGUUGGAGUCUGAAGACUCUCCCUGAAAGCAUUGGUAAUGUAAAGUCUCUUGAAACUAUGAAUAUUUGUGGGUGUUCACAACUUGAGAAAUUGCCAGAAGGCAUGGGUGAUAUGAAAUUCUUAACUGAGCUGCUAGCCGAUGAGAUUAAAACUGAGCAAUUUCUCUCUUCAAUUGGGCAAUUAAAGUAUAUCAAAAGGUUAUCAUUGCGUGUUUCAAAUUUGAAAUGUUGGCUGCCAACAUCUUUCACUGAAUGGAGAUUAGUGAAAUAUCUUAAGCUUUACUGUGUUGAUUUUAGAGGUAUGUUCUCUCUAAAAGUAUUGGAUCUAAGAGGAAACAAAUUCUCUAGCCUGCCUUCUGGGAUCGGCUUCCUUCCCAAGCUAUCGUACUUGGUUGUUAAGACAUGUGAAUAUCUUGUAUCAAUCCUAGAUCUUCCCUCAAGUUUAUGCCUUUUGGAUGCAUCUUAUUGCAAAUCAUUGGAAAGAGUAAGAAUACCAAUCGAGGCAAAAAAAGAACUAUGUGUAAAUAUAUAUAUGAAAGUCUUUCGGUAGAAGAGAUUCAGGGCAUCGAAGGUUUAAAUAAUAGUUUCUGGUAUGUUAGUGUUACAUCACCAAAUAAAUUACAGAAGAGCAGUCAUUCACCAAAUAAAUCACAGAAGAGCGUUGUUGAGGUACUAUUUCUUUUAGUCUCUCUUGCACAAGAAGAAACACACACAAUUGGCACAUACAUUGAUUAAUGUCUAAAAUCGCAGCAUUCCUUGAAAUUAAUAUGUAUACAUACAAUUAUUAUUUUAAUUUAAAAAAUAAAUAUCAUCUUUAAUAAUAUUUUCUUAUUUUUCUUAUUUAAUCUAAAAAAUUAAAUAUUAUCUUUAAUAAUAUUUUUUAUAAAAUAUUUAAAGUCUUUGGUUUUCUUUUUUAUUUCUUGAUUUUAUGAUAAUAUAUUUAUACAGGCAAUGUGCAACCGUGGUCACGGGUAUCGUAUUAGCUUCAUUGUUGAUGAUCUACUUGAGAUGCCAGAUUGGAUGAGCUACAGGGCAGAAGGAUGCGCAUUGUCAUUCCAUAUACCUCCAGUCUUCCAUGGCUUAGUUCUUUUGUUUGAGAAGAGUACUCAUCUUUACACAGUCACUAACAUUAUUAUUAUUAUAAGAAAUAAAAGCAACGGAAGAAUAUUGUUUAAAGAUAAACGAGCACAGAUAGGAAUACAUAUAUUUAUGCAGGGAUGGUUAAGAUACAUAAGUAGAAGUGAAAUGGCAAUGGAAGAUUACUGUGGAGAUGACGAAUUGGAACUAUACAUAUAUUCACAGCAAUCAGAGUAUGCAACGGUCAUUCAUUCGAACCCGUACACGUUAAAGAAUGUGGGGUCCAUGUGAUCGCAGAGAAGUUAGAUUCAUUUGAAGAGUCGGCAGUGGGAAGAGAUACAGUGAUGCCUUCACCACCGCUGUAUCAUCUGCUUCCUCAUCCUCAUCGUGGUUCAAUUACAACGUCUACACCUAAGCAAUGGUGUGACUUUUUACUUGCGGAGCUGCAAAACCAUAACCUCAGUUUAUUGCUUCUUGGUAAGAACAAAUAUUUCCUUUAGUUAUUUUUAUUCUAUUCUAUUUAAUUUAUGAGAUUAAAUAUUAUCUUUAAUUAUUUCAUUAUUACUAUUUAAUAUAAAAAAUUAAAUAUCAUUUUUAAUAAUAAAAAAUUAAAUAUUUAAGGCUUUUUGGUAAGAAUACAUAUUUCCUUUAGUUAUUUCUAUUUUAUUCUAUUUAAUUUAAGAGAUUAAAUAUCAUCUUUAAUUAUUACAUUUUUCUUAUUUUUUAUUUUUUGAUUUUAUGAUAAUAUUUUUCUUGAUUAAUAUAAAAAAUAAAUAUUAUCUUUAAUAAUUAGAUCUAUCGAAUAUCACUCAAAAAAAUAAAUUAUAUCUUUAAUAAUUAUUUUUUGAAAAACAAAAAGCCAACAAUCACUAACAUAUUUUAUUAAAAUCACUUUAGUUUAUUUAGGAAAUAUUGAAAACUGAUUUUUGUUUUUUUACAUUUAAAUAAAAAAUUGAAUAAUGUUUUUAUAUUUUAUUUCAAAUUAAAUAUUUUAAAACAAAAAUAAAAACAAAAUGAUAUUAACCUUUUUUAUUAUAAAGUAAGUUUCUUAAUUAAAAGUGAAGGGGAUUUGUUUGUAAUAACAAAAUGCAUAUAUAAUCAUGCACGGUUAACUUUAUUUCCAAACUUGAAAGUUCUACUGAAUUUGAUGGUUUUAUAGGUAAGAAGGAGCUGGAUGGAUGAGUUAUUUUACAUAGAGAUGCUUGAAGUUACUUCAAAUUAGUACGGUAUUUCUAUCUGAUGUAUUGAUAUGUAUUUGUUGGCUUGAAGAUCAUUUUCCAAGUUUGGAAGUUUUAUUGAAUGCUCUUUGAAAUCUUUUCCAUUCGCUUUUAUAAUUGUGUAGGUUUCAAUUAAAAGGGAUUGAAUUAAGGAAGUAUGUUAAAAAAUAAUAUAAAUUAUAUUUUAAAAUUUAUUUUAAUAGUUUAAAUUUUUAGAUGGAUAGUUUUUUUGACAGGUAAAAGAUAUAGUUUUACAAUAAAAUAUAUUUUUUGAAAUGAAAUUAUAUUAAAUUAAGCAUGCUCGAGAUUGUUCAAAUUAUUAAUUAAUUAUAAUUAACUUUAUGUCUUUAGAGGAAACAGAAGGGAAGGACAAGAUUAUCUUCCCCACACCAAUAGACCUAGCCCACUUUCCAAACCAGUCCCCUGGUAAAUAGAAUGAUGGUCCCAUAUUUUUCUUUCCAGCCCGUCAAGCAGUUUUAUCUCCCUCACUGGACCACUUUAGAAUGGGAAUCACACUAGGAAAUUUAAAAGUAGUUUGAAGUAUCAUUAAACCUGAUAAAAAUAAACAACCAAUAAUAAUAUGGUUGGGAUUUAAAAAAAAAUUGAUAAAAAAACUAAAAUAAAACAAAUUAAAAUAAACAAAAAACUUGAAAAAAAUUAAUUCAACCCUUUCUUCGUAAAAAAGAGAAGUAAUUGGGUAUUAAUUUACGGUCAAAAGAGUACAAUAAUGCAAAGAAAAAAAAGAGUAUGAGGGUAUUGAUUUUAUUAUUUGUUAGGUAACUAUGGAAUCUAAUCUGUUGAUGUGGAAAAUAGCACAAAUUAAGUUUUUGGCAUGGCCAUUGGUGAGAAGCAAAAGCAGUAGCAGUCCAUCAGGACCAUCACCAUCCUAUCGCCGACAUUCCAAGUGUGAAAGUGUAUUAUUGUCAUAAAGUUUUUCAAACGAAACAAUACGAUAAAUUUAAACUAUAGAGAGAUAAUUAAAUAAAUAAGUAGAAAGCGCAAAAGAAACAAUACGAUAAAUUUAAACUAUACUAAAGGUCAGUUUUUCACUCUGUGUGAAUCUACCGUGAAAGCUUGAUUUUGCACAUGGUAGAUAAAUUUAGGUUUAGGAGUAUAAUUUUUUAUAUAUAAUUACACUAAAGAAGAAUAUUAAUCAAAUAACCCUUAAAAAAAUUCCUUUUAGUUUAGGGUUUAUUUUUUUUCAUCUCAAUUACUUAAAUAUCCCUAAAAAAUAAACUCUCUUUACUAUGGAUGCAAGGUUAUUUUAGAUUUUCUGCUAUUUUUUUUUUAAAAAAUUCUCAUGUAAGAUUAGAGGUGAUUUGGUAUUUUAAUAUAUAAAUUAAUAUUAAAAUUCAAAAGCAGUUGGUGUCUCCCACACCUUUUGGAUGGCGCCUACGACUUCCACACAAAACCGAAUGUUACCGUCUAAGGCAGCGUUUGAUGCGUUUCACCACCGUUGUCACGGUGGUGGCACACGUGUUCUCUGAUGGCAUGUAGAGGAGCACGCGGAGGAGCUCCUUUCUCUUUUUCCUCUCUCGACCUAGAAAAUCAUGUUGACCAUUGAAAAAAAAAAAAACAAAGAAAGUCUAACUAUUUAUUUGUUAAGUUAAAUUAGGUCCUUAUUCUUUUGAUAACAAUGCAUUUGGUCUUGAGCUAUUUAUUAAGUUAGUUGUUUUUUCAUUUUCAUUAAUUUACACUUUGUUUUUAUAUUAGAUUUAAUCCUUAUUCUUUUAACUGUGAUGUUUUUUGUUGUCUUAAUUCCUUUAUUGAAUUAAAUUGUCUUUGAAUUUUAUCUCUUGAUAUUUUAUUUUUAUAUCAAAUAUGAUCCUUAUUUUUUUAUUGUUAUUUUUAGUUAUUUUUAUUAUUUUCUUAAUUGAAAUUGUUUUUUAAUUUCAUCCCUUAUGAUUUGGUUUUAUUUACUUUAUGUAUCAAAUUUGGUUCUCUUUCUUUUCAAAUCUACAUCUUUAAAAAUAAAAUUUAAUUUUUUUCAAGUUUAUCCCUAAUUAUUUUGGUUGGUUUAGAUUUUAUAUUGUUAUUUUUUAUUUUUCUUUUACAUUGUGAUAUAGCCUUAUGAUUGUGUCACAAAUUCUAAAAGUUGGACAGGGAUGACUUCAAUUAUUUUUAGAAAUUUUCAUUCUUCAAUUCAAUUAUAUAUAUAUAUAAAAGGUUUGACGCUUAAUAUAUUUUUGUAUUGAUUUUAUCAUUUUAUAAUUUGAUUUAUAAUGCAGUCCUAUUAUAUAUGGACCAGGACAACAAUAUCAUUCAAAUGUUAGUAAUAGAAUAACUUUUACAUAUUUUAAUAUUUAAAAAUUAAAAAAAUACAGUGUAACUGUUUUGUAUAAAUUCUAAAAGUAAGGACUCAUUUGUGCUUGGUAAAAUACCUCACAAUAAAGUUAAUAAAUAAUAACACAAGAAAAGAACAAAAGUUAAUAAAUAAUAUAUAGCAUGUCUUACACUGCUUUAAUAGAUUAUUCCAGUAAGAGCACAGAGAGAAGAGCGGUUCAAGACAGAACAAUGAUGUAUAAAUUAAAAAAAUAUAAUCUCUUAUAGGAAUCUCUUUAUUAAAUAAUCAAAAUAUUAAAGUCUAUUUCCAAAGACUAUUACUACAGUUUUUAUAUAUAUAAAAAUAGAAACAACUAAAUAGAGAAAUUAUUAUUUUUUAAAUUGAAAAAGUUGAAAAGCUUGAUAAUAUUGAGUAAGAAAUAAAAUAUAAAAAUAAUUCCUUUUAAAUAAACAAAUAUAAAAGUUUAAUAGUACUGAAUAGAAAAAAAAAUAGAAUUUCUAAACUAAAUAAAAGUAACUGAAAAAAGUAUUUAUUAUUCCAAAAAAAUUGAUGUUAAAAUCUCAUUUAUCAUAUUUUAUAUCUAUAAAAAGCUAAUUUGUCAUAUGGAAUAAGUCUAUAUGCUAAAAUCAGAAAAAACAAAUGUAACAAAAAAAAAUUCCACCAAAGGCUGUGAUUAGCAGAUUAUCUGAUGGAAAGAUGAUGAACAUUUUUUAGUCAAUUAAGUUCAUUUCACAUGAUUUUUUUAUUCUUGUCAAUUAAUCUUAAAGCAAGAUUCCAAGAUAAGCCUAAAAAAUAUUUAUUAUUAAUCAACAAUAUGGAAUAAUAACUUGUUUUCUAAUAUAAAUUAUAAUUUGAAAUAAAAUUGAUAAAAGAGUAAGGCGCAUUUUGUAUACAAAAUUAAUGACGGAAUCGUAUAUUUUAAGACUAAAUUAAAGUUUUUCAAUUACAUUUAAACAUAUUAUGGUUUUAAUAAACGUACGAUGCAUCCUUUGAUUUUAUUACAGGGAACGUGAAAUAUUGUAAAUUAUGGAGGGGAAUCAAAAUAUUUGUUAGCAGUAACCUCAGUAAUGUUUAAAAAAAAUUGUUGUGGAAACUUUGCAAAGGAUCUGAAGGAAGAAAAAUGAUUGAAUUGAUAAUAAUUUGCAAGAGAGAAUUCUUUCACUGAAUAGAAAAAAAAAUAUUAUUUUUAAAAUAAAAACAAUAAAUAUAAAAAUUAUUAUUUUUUAAAUAGAGAAACUAGAAAGUCCUGAUAAUAUUAAAUAAAAAAUAAAUACAAAAAUUAUUCUUUUCAAGUAGAAAAAAUUAUAAAAGUUUAAUAAUACUGAAUAGAAAUAAAUAAAAUUUCUAAACUAAAUAAAAAUAUUUAUUAUCCCAAAAAUUCUUAUAUCAAAAUCUCAUUUAUCAUAUUUUGUAUCUAUAAAAAACUAAUUUGUCAUAUGUACUGGGUCCAUAUGCUAAAACCAGAAAAAAAAAUGUAACAAAAAAAAAAUUCCACACAAGGCUGUGAUUAAGAGAUUAACAAGAUGAUAGAUAUUUUUUAGUAAAAUGAAUUCCAAUUCAAAAUAGCAAAAUAAGGUUUUUUGAGGCUUUUCUAGUAUAUAAAAAAAUCAAAUUAUACAAGAUUUAUUAUUAAUCUUUGAUAUUUAUUAUUGAUCAUCAAUAAUCAAUAUUAAAUGAUGACUUAUUUUCUAGUAUAAACUAUGUUUGAAAUAAAAUUGAUAAAACACAUUAUAUAUAAUUAAUGAUGGGAUCGUAUAUAAAAAUAAUUAAAUUGAGAUUUUUCAAUUACCUUUAAAUAUAUCAUAGUUUUAAUCGGUGGUGGACGAUAUAACAUAUGUAAAUUAUAAAACAAGCAUUUAUUUUUCUGAUAUAUACAUAAUUGUCGCACCCGGACAUCGCGGCGACCUUAAAAAUAAUAUUUCAUGGAAAAGAACAGAUUUCUGGCAUCCUGUUCUUUAAUGGAGAAUGGUCUCGUUUAAGGAGUCGCCACCUAGUAUUAUGGUCACUAGGAACCCUAACUGGUCAACAGAGAUUCUAUGGUACGGGACUGGUUACGUAAAAGAGAAGAUAUUAUCACCCCUUAAACGUUCUGCCUGAGGCAGACUGCAUUGCUGGUUUUGUCUUAAAUUGCUAAAUGUUUAUUAGUUUACGCUAUGAUAAUUUGCUUAUAAUAUUCCUGACUCUGGCGUCAGUGAAUAUUCAACUACGAAUAUCUCCAACUCUGGCGUUGGUAAAUAUUACGUAGUUAUAAAAUAAAUUAGAUCAAUAUUUUUUUAUUACCUACUCUAGCAGUGAAUAAAUAAAUAAAAAUAAAUUUAUUUUUAAACAUGCACAUAUUUUUUUAUUUUUCUAGCUAAAUAAAAUAAAUAUAACGAAUAAAAAUAAUAUAAAUUUAAACCGGUAUUUUUAUUCCUGACUCUGGCAUCAGUGAAUAAACCAAUAAAUUUACAUUAUUUUUAUUUAUGCAUACACAUUUUUAUUUUUAUUUUUUUCUAAUAAUGAAUAAAAAUAAUAUAAAUUUAAACCGAUAUUUUUAUUCCUGACUCUGGAGUCAGUGAAUAAACCAAUAAAUUACAUUUUUUUUAUUUUUUUCCUAGGACUAUUUUUCCUACAUUUUUUUAUAUUUUUUUAUUUUUUUCCUAGGACUAAGCUUCACACGUGUAUGCAAAAGUAGUGAAUUAAAUUGGCCUAUGUACAGUACCCAUGCAAUUAGAAUUGCAAAGCAAAGGGAAAUGAAGAACUUACCUGUGCAGGAGGCGAAGUCGAAGACGGUGGCGAAGGUGUGCUGAAUUGCCAAAGCUACCUUCUCUCCUUCUCUGUUUUUAUUCUUCGUGCGCUUCUCCUCUGGUUUUGCUUUUCUUUACUUUGAUUGCUUCUCUUAUUCUUCCUGUCUCCCCCCCUGUGUUUGCUUGUUCUCAGUUCGCUUGUGUUUUCUUUUUUUAUCUGUUGUUCAGGGAAUGGAGGAGCUGGUGUAAGUGGAGACAAAGCAGCUGAUGCCUGAGAGGGCGUUGUACUGCUGCUGGAGCUGGAAGAGGCGCGCGUUGCUGGUUGCUGAUGCAUGCUCACGGUGCAUGGAAGUGGCUGAGUUGCUACUAAUCUUGACGAUACUGGUUUCGUCCGCUGUAAAAGUUUUCGUGCCCCUGCAUCCGAUCAAAGCUUGUGCUUUUCCAAGCAAAAGCCAUGGUCCCUUGAAACUCAGCAGAUUUUCGGAGCAAGGAGGAUCGCAUGCCAAUGUAGUUCAUGGUUCUGGUUUAGAGGCAGACGUGGCGGAGAUUAAUGGUGAUUGGGACCACAGCCUAGAAGGUGACCGGGAGGAAGAUGAUCUCGAGCCUUUAUUUGCUUCUUCUUUUUUUGUGAGGAGUUUGCAGAUCCCGGGGGUUGAGAAUGAAGAAUGAAAAAUCAGUUUGAUGGGGAAGAGAUUGAGGCCAGGCAAGAAGGGAGGAAAAGUCUGGGGGGAGGGGGCAGCGGCGGCUAGUCUAGGACUCGGCCGCGCCCCUUUUUUUUUUUGUAAAUGUCUUUUGUUUCUUUUUUUUUAUAUAGGUUUCUGGUAAUGAUCUUCUCCUGGGUUUUUUUUUUGUGUCGUUUAAGGUUCCUCUCUAAUCGUCUUCCUCUCCCCUCCGUUUUUCAUACCCUGAGAUCUGUAUUUAUAGUGCCAGAGUCCCUUCGCUUGUGAGAAACCAAGUUUCAAUCAAACUCAUUCUAUUUUUUGAAGUUUGAAUUUGAUUAAGAAUCAAAUUUGAAAGCGGAUAACUAUCAUUAUCUUAAAGACAAGGAUUAUCUCGAAGAUAAAGAUUAUCUUGAAGAUAGGGAUUAUCUUGAAGAUAAAGAUAGAAUGAUAAAAGCACAUUGUAGUCCUUAAUUUUCACGGAAGUUGACAAAUCACACUUUUCAUCGAAAUAAAUCUCUGAUCUUUUAAUUUUUCAUUUUAAACCCUGUAAAAAUUAAAUUAAAAGUCAAAGGGCCAAAAUUGGGUCAUGACAGUUGCCCCCUCUUUACAAUGCUUACGGUGCAAAUGCAUUAGAAAAUUUAUUUUCUUUUGACUUUGUAUAGUAAGUUUUGUAAAGAAAAAUAAUUGUGAAAGCCCUUCCUCUUUUCCUCCUUUUUUUUUUCUUCUCUUUUUUUUGAUUGAUUUUUUUGCUUUUUUUUUUUAAAUGGUCUAAUUGUUCCAGGCGACCUGCCUGAUAAAGAAUAAAAUGCGAAAAGGGUUUCGCGAGUGGUCUAAUUGUUCCAGGCGACCUGCCCGAUGAUUGAAAAAUACGAGGAUUUUUUUUUGUGAUGGUAUAUUGUAAUGGGUUACCGGCCCAGAUGGUCACAUUGUAAUGGGUUACCUGCCCAGUAUAGGAUGGUAUAUUGUAAUGGGUUACCGGCCCAAAUGGUCACAUUGUAAUUGGUUACCUGCCUAGUAUAGGAUGGUAUAUUGUAAUGGGUUACCAACUCAGAUGGUCACAUUGUAAUGGGUUACCUGCCCAGUAUAGGAUGGUAUAUUGUAAUGGGUUACCGACCCAAGUGGUCACAUUGUAAUGGGUUACCUGCCUAGUAUAGGAUGGUAUAUUGUAAUGGGUUACCGACCCAGAUGGUCACAUUGUAAUGGGUUACCUGCCCAGUUGGUCACAUUGUAAUGGGUUACCUGCCCAGUGGAUGGUAUAUUGUAAUGGGUUACCGACCCAGAUGGUCACAUUGUAAUGGGUUACCUGCCCAGUGGAUGGUAUAUUGUAAUGGGUUACCGACCCAGAUGGUCACAUUGUAAUGGGUUACCGGCCUAGUUGGUCACAUUGUAAUGGGUUACCUGCCCAGUGGAAAAAUACGAGGAUUUUUCAGAUGGUCACAUUGUAAUGGGUUACCUGCCCAGAUGGUCACAUUGUAAUGGGUUACCGGCCCAGUUGGUCACAUUGUAAUGGGUUACCUGCUUAGUGGAAAAAUACGAGGAUUUUUUUUUAAGACAUGAUAGGGCUCGAAGGCGCAUUAUUCAAUAGAUGGAAGCUCGAGGGAAAUGAGGGCUUGAAGGCGCCCUCAAAAGAAGGUAGGAUAGGAAAUGCACUACCUUUGAUGGUCGAGGGCUCGAAGGAGCGCUCGAAUGGAGGUAGGAUAGGAAAUGCACUACCUUUGAUGGUCGAGGGCUCGAAGGCGUGCUCGAAAAGAAAUAAGAUGAGGGCUCGAAGACGCGCUCGAAAGGAGGUAGGAUAGGAAAUGCACUACCUCAGGAGUGGAAACUGAAAGGUGGUGGGAAAAUAGAGAGAUUUUUUCAGGUGGCCUAAUUCUCAUGGGCGGCUUGCCCAGGUUGAAAAAUUCUCAAAAGUGAAAAUUUUUUCAAAAGCAAUUUCAAUGUUCGCCAUUUCAAGUUGGCCUUCCGCUUGAUGGAUUCCGUCAGAAUUUUUUUCUAAUAAAAUUUGCAAAACUCAUUGUCCAAUGUCUCAAAGUUUAAAUGAUAUGCAUGCAUCUUUACCUGAUUUGAAAUAUAGGCCCCCCAUUUCUUCUUAGUCUUCUCGUGGCUUGGUUGGUGAGAUCUUGCUAUCUGAUUUGAGUCAUCUUUGUCGUUUGGCUUUCUAGCCCACUCGAGUUAGCCCAUAUAAGACUUUUUCCAGAUUUGUUUGCACAACUCAGCCUUUGUGGUGCCCAUCGUGACCCACUUGCUUGCUAGAGAUUUUCUGUCUCGUCAAAUAGUUUGAGGGGAUCAUUCAUUACUCCUCGUCUCACUGAUAAAAAUAUUUGGUGUCACUUGCUGAAAGGAUCAAACUGUCUUUCGUAAACCAAAAUGCCCCCUUGUCUUGUUGUAGGAAAUGUUCCUUCUUUUUUUUUAGAACAGAUAGAUUUUUCUUAAGCACAAUAUUGCCCCCUUGUACUAGUCAUUGCCCCCAAGUGUGCCCUGUCAGCGACUUAGACAAAUAAUGGUUUUAAGAGACCAUUCUCUCAUUUCUCUCCUUUUCAGUUUGGUGAAGGAAUAUGGGUUUAGAAUGAAUCUUGAAAUCUUGAUCUUGCAUUUUGAAAACAAAAAAUUAUUUCGAUGUGAGUCUAAAACAAUUUGCUUUUGAAAUCUUGCAACUCCUUGGUUAUUUUCUUUCUUGGAAAAGAGAUUAUUUGCUCUUGUGUUUGGCAAUGAGAUCUUUGAUGAAAAUACGUCAUGAGAUGACCUUUUGUUUUUAUAGGUUUUUAAAGUGGAGGGCUCGAGAAAGAGCUCGAGGUUUUGUAUGAGAAAAACUUGUCUCUUUUUUUAACAUUUAUUUUUAUCAGCAUCAAUAAUAAUGAGUAGCUUAUUCUUGAUGUCAUGAAUCUUAUGAAAAAGUAUUCUUUGCAUUUUGAGAGCAUUGUUUAUUGUUCUAGGUUGCUUGCUUGCUUGAUUAGAAAGGACUUCUACAGGCACAUAACGUAGGCUGUGGUUUUUGGCUAUGAAAGAAAAGGAUUCAUAAGGCUCAAAGAGUGUUUCAGGGUUUCAAAGAAUGAAGAUCACAAUCAACAGUUUGACUCUUGACGUCAUUCAUAUUUUCUUUUGCCGCUCUUCUUUGAUUUGCCUUUUUUUCUUUUUUCUUUUUCAUUGCUUUGCUAGAGCAUACUCACUUUAUCUUGGUUAUCACUUUUUCUUGUGAUUUGGGCAUGCCCCCUAGCAUUUGAGUUUCUUGGGCUCUUUUGCCUUUUGACUUUCUCACGGCUUUAUUAUCUUUCUUGAUCAUUGAAAUUUCACUUGCCCCCAGUGUGGGGUGUGAUCCUAGUCGGGAUUUUUUCAUGAAAGAAAAAUUAUUCAGGCUCAAAAAGGGAUCGCAAGGGAUGUACUUAUUUCAGAAUAUGAAAGGAAUAACAAAGAUGGCAUUUCCUCAUUUCAAGCGCAAGCAGUUAAGAUCAAUAAACUUUGACCUCAUCUAGUGUGAUAGUUUGGUCUUUGCAAAGAUGCAUUUCAAGGGUCAUGAGCAACAAGUUCACUACAUACCAUUAUUCAUACAUUUAAAAACACAUGAUUCAAGAGUCGUGGGGUAAGGGUGUUUAUUUAUUUCUUUUCUCUUUUUUCUUUUUUUCUUUUUGGUUUAUAAUUUAGUCACCUCAUUGAUGGAGUUACUUGAUUAACACGUAGAAUGUUAAAAAUAUGGUUUUUGAAUAAACAUCAAGUUAUUUUCGGAAUCAAAAUGCAAGAUCAAUUUUUUCAAAACUCUAAUAGGGAAACUGAUUUUUGGUAACAGAGACAAAUUGCGUCUAUGAGAUCGCACAAGGCUUCAAAGAUGUGUUUGUGAGUCUUUAUAAGAAAACUCUCUCAGAAAAAUGAAUAAUGCUAAUCGUACACACGAUUGAAUGACAAACUCAUUAUUUUCAUUGAAACUUUGGAAAAUAAGUUCAACAAGAAAGAACUCAUGACAACAUCUUGGGCUAUGAAUACUGGCAUGAUAGCAUAUAAAGGGGCUAAACAUUUAACAAUCAUUGAUUGGAAUUUCUGGAAUCAUUCAUUCUCCUUGACAAGGGCAUCUCUUCAAUAGUCAAUAAUAUCACCAUAGCUUUAUCUUCAAGAUAGUUGAUUUCUAAAAAUUGGUGUGAAGCAAUUAGCUAUAGGAACGAUAACUGUCUUGGCAGCCACCUUCAGUGAAACCGUUCUUCUUAGUUAGGUUAGCAAUCUUACAUAACCCAAUGGCUUGUUCAAUCCUCUCAGCUAUAACAACCAGGUCAGUGAAAUGUUGCGCAGAGCUUCUAACCAAGUAUUCAAAGUAUGAAGCUUUAAAGUUGUUGGAAAAUAAACUGAUCAUCUCUUUUUCCAACAUAGAAGGGUUAACCUGUGCAGCUACCUCCCUCCAUCUUCGAGCGUAUUUCCUUAUGGACUCCUUAUUGUCCUUCUCCAUAGCUUGCAAGUUUAAACGAUCAGAGUCCACGUCUAUAUUGAACUUAUAUUGUCUCAUGAAGGCAUCAACUAAAUCCUUCCAUUUUUUAACCUUGGUAUUUUCCAACCGCAUAUACCAAGUGAGGGCAACGUCACUCAAAUUGUCUUGAAAGAAGUGAAUUAACAGUUUCUCGUCAUAGACUACCUCAACCAUUUUGUUGCAGUAUGUCUUGAGAUGAGUUACAGGGCAUUGAGUUCCUGUAUAUUUGAUGAAUUCUGGCACUCUAAACUUCUUAGGAAUGACUACGUUAGGUACCAAACACAUCUCAACAGCUUUUAUAUGGUCAUGUAGGCUAGUUCCCUCGAAUGCCCUCAGUCUUUGUUCCAAGGCAGCCCUUUUAUCCAGGCCAUCUUCUUUUACCACCUUGUUCUUUUGAGAUUCCUUUAUUGUAAGGUCAAUGGUAGAUGACAUUCCUAUGGGAUAUGCUGGUUGAGCAAAUUGGGAAUACAUAGACUGUUGAGACACCUCAUUUGCCCCCAGAUUCUGUGGAUUUACGAGCAUAGGUUCAGGCUGAGCUGUAGAUUUUGCUUCUUCAUGUUUAGAUCUCAAGGCUUGUUCGAGUAAGCUAGUAAGCCUGGCAACUUUCCAUCUCUUUUCGGUGUGGGGCUUCCAACUGGGCUCUUUCUUGUAAAAAAUUCCACACAAGGCUGUGAUUAAGAGAUUAACAAGAUGAUAGAUAUUUUUUUAGUAAAAUGAAUUCCAAUUCAAAAUAGCAAAAUAAGGUUUGUUGAGGCUUUUCUAGUAUAUAAAAAAAUCAAAUUAUACAAGAUUUAUUAUUAAUCUUCGAUAUUUAUUAUUGAUCAUCAAUAAUCAAUAUUAAAUGAUGACUUAUUUUCUAGUAUAAACUAUGUUUGAAAUAAAAUUGAUAAAACACAUUAUAUAUAAUUAAUGAUGGGAUCGUAUAUAAAAAUAAUUAAAUUGAGAUUUUUCAAUUACCUUUAAAUAUAUCAUAGUUUUAAUCGGUGGUGGACGAUAUAACAUAUGUAAAUUAUAAAACAAGCAUUUAUUUUUCUGAUAUAUACAUAAUAAUAACAAAUUAAAUGAUAGUAACAAGAAAAUAGCAAUUAGUUUGAAUAAAUGGUACCAGUUCCUAUCAUUAUAUAUUUAGGAAAAGGUUCAAAGAAUAGAAUAAAGUCAAAUAUAUAUUUUUAAUAAAAAAGAAAAAAAAACACAGAAAGAAAUAAAAAUAUGUUUGUAAUAAAUAUAAAAGAUGGAUAAAAAUAUUAGAGAAUAAGAAAGAGAUAUAGAAUCUCUUUGUGAAAUUUCUAAAAACUUAAUUACAAUUAUAUUAUAAUUUCUUCCCUAAAAUUAUUCAAAAUAUAGUAUUAGAAUUAUAUAAUGCUAGGUUUUAAUAGUUAAUUAAAGAAUCUUUCCUGAAUCAAAUAAUAAAAAUAUUGUAUAACGAUCUUUUGGAUGAAUUGUUAAUGUAGCUCUUUGACUGUUUGGGGUCCUGACAUAGCUGAUUUUAUUUGAAUAUAUUAUUUGAUAUCUCAUUGCUGCAUUGACUGGAAAUUUCAGUAUUCCAUAUCCUAUAUAUUUAACUCGUUAUAUUUAGUAGCUAACUCUGCAGCUAACUUCUCUGUCCCAUUGCAGCAAUUUCAUAGCUAACUCUUUGUUAUAUUUAACUUACUCUUCUUUGCUUCUUUGCUUCUUGCUCAUAACGAUAACUUGAAAGCCUUACGUUCAGAUAGAUAAUCAUUGACCAGUUCAUUGACCAGUUCUUUGUUAAUUUAGAAAUGCUGAAACAAAAACGCAAGCAAUCCAAAGAUGAAGACAACGAUUCAUCCUCGCGAAAGAGAAGAAAAGCUGACCUCAGUAAGCCUGUCAGUUUUGUCUCCACAGGUAAGGCAUAUGCGUGAGUCUAUACAUGUAGGAACUGCUGAUUCGAUUUGAAUAUGUUAUUUGAUUAGUCUGAUCAUAGGAUAGGUUGAGUCUACUACUAUUUCUGCCUUGCUUUGACUCGAAAUUCCUGGUGUUUUCACCUGCAAAUGAAUAGAAAUCACAUCCUUUCUCUUUCUCCUAUACAAAGAAUACAGUUAACCUCAUUUCAAUAUCAUAGAUUUGGAAUUUCAUAGCUAACUCUUUGUUAUAUUGCUCCAUUGGUAAUUGAUUGUGCCUUAAUUUCUGCAGCUACCAUGACAGAGCCAGGGUCUUCUCGAUCUAGUCCAGAAGGGGCCUAUGAUGUCUUCUUGAGUUUUAGAGGAGAAGACACUCGCAAGACAUUUACAGAUCAUCUAUAUGCUGCCUUAGAUCAAGCAGGAAUCCGCGCUUUUCGAGAUGAUGAUGAACUUCCGAGAGGAGAAGAAAUCUCCGAUCAUCUCCUCAGGGCAAUUCAAGAAUCAAAGAUAUCCAUAGUUGUCUUCUCAAAAGGAUAUGCUUCUUCUAGAUGGUGUCUCAAUGAACUUGUAGAGAUUCUUGAGUGCAAAAAGAGGAAAACCGGUCAGAUUGUUCUUCCUAUAUUCUAUGACAUUGAUCCUUCAGAUGUGAGAAAACAGAACGGCAGUUUUGCAGAAGCAUUUGUUAAACAUGAAGAGCGUUUUGAAGAGAAGUUGGUGAAGGAGUGGAGAAAAGCUCUUGAGGAGGCUGGAAAUCUAUCUGGAUGGAAUCUCAAUGAUAUGGCAAAUGGGUAUGCCUUUUUUCCAAAUUUAUGGAGUCAAUAUACUUUAUAUUUUUCAAUGUGAAACAAUAAAAUACUUAAUUGACUGGCUAUCAAUGACUGGCUUUUGUCUAUGAGCAGGCAUGAAGCAAAAUUUAUCAAAGAGAUUAUCAAGGAUGUGUUGAAUAAAUUAGAUCCCAAGUACUUAGAUGUUCCUGAGCUCCUAGUAGGUAUGGAUCGGCUUUCUCGCAAUAUUUUUGACUUUCUAAGUACUGCAACACAUGAUGUACGCAUUGUGGGCAUACAUGGGAUGCCAGGAAUAGGAAAGACAACUAUAGCAAAAGUUGUAUUUAAUCAACUCCGCUAUAGAUUCGAGGGAAGCUGCUUUUUUUCGAAUAUCAAUGAAACAUCAAAACAAUUCAAUGGUCUGGCUCUUUUACAAGAGCAACUUCUUCAUGAUAUUUUAAAACAAGAUGUUGCUAACAUCAAUUGUGUCGAUAGAGGAAAGGUUCUGAUCAAAGAACGACUUCGUCGCAAAAGAGUUCUUGUUGUUGCUGAUGAUGUGACUCGUCAGGACCAGCUAAAUGCUUUGAUGGGAGAGCGAGGUUGGUUUGGUCCCGGAAGUAGAGUAAUUAUUACAACAAGAGAUUCAAGUUUUCUACAUAAAGCGGAUCAAACAUAUCAAAUCGAAGAAUUGAAACCAGAUGAGUCCUUUCAACUUUUCAGCUGGCAUGCCUUGCGGGACACCAAGCCAGCAGAAGAUUAUAUUGAGCUUUCGAAGGAUGUAGUUGAUUACUGUGGAGGAAUUCCUUUGGCUCUUGAGGUUAUGGGUGCUUGUCUGUCCGGGAAAAACAGAGAUGGUUGGAAAUCUGUAAUUGACAAAUUGAGAAGAAUUCCAAACCGCGAUAUCCAAGGAAAGCUUAGAAUAAGUUUUGACGCACUGGACGGUGAAGAACUACAAAAUGCAUUCCUUGACAUCGCUUGCUUCUUUAUUGAUAGAAAGAAAGAGUACGUCGCAAAAGUGCUAGGAGCCCGUUGCGGUUACAAUCCAGAAGUUGAUUUGCAAACUCUCCAUGAGAGGUCUCUGAUUAAAGUAUUGGGAGAGACGGUAACCAUGCAUGAUCUAUUACGAGACAUGGGAAGGGAGGUCGUUCGUGAAAAGUCUCCAAAACAACCUGGAGAGAGGACCAGAAUUUGGAAUCAAGAGGAUGCAUGGAAUGUACUUGAGCAGCAGAAGGUAAGAGCUCAAUGCAUACAUGAAAGCAUAGUCAUGCGUAUUUUCUAGUCAAACUUAUUACAAGUAAUUGUAUGAAAGUUGUAUUGAUUUAUUUUUUAGGGUACGGAUGUCGUAGAGGGUCUUGCACUGGAUGUCAGAGCAUCAGAAGCUAAAUCACUUAGCGCAGGAUCAUUUGCAGAAAUGAAAUGCUUAAAUUUACUCCAAAUCAAUGGAGUUCAUCUCACCGGAUCCUUCAAACUGCUUUCUAAAGAGUUGAUGUGGAUUUGUUGGCUUCAAUGUCCUUUGAAAUAUUUUCCAUCUGAUUUUACCUUGGAUAAUUUAGCUGUUCUUGAUAUGCAGUACAGUAACCUCAAAGAACUAUGGAAGGGAAAAAAGGUGAGAAACAUGCUGCAAUCCCCAAAAUUUCUCUAUUAUGUAAUUUAUAUUUACAUGUUACAACUUCUUAAGAUUAAUUUUCAUUAUUUUGCGCUCUAUUAUACAGAUUCUCAACAGGCUAAAAAUCCUUAAUCUCAGUCAUUCUCAGCACCUUAUUAAAACACCAAACUUACACAGUUCAAGUCUAGAGAAAUUAAUUCUGAAAGGUUGCUCGAGUUUAGUUGAGGUGCAUCAAUCAAUUGAAAAUUUGACGAGCCUUGUUUUCUUGAAUCUCAAGGGAUGUUGGAGGCUGAAGAAUCUCCCUGAAAGAAUUGGCAAUGUAAAGUCUCUUAAAACUCUGAAUAUUUCUGGGUGUUCACAACUUGAGAAAUUGCCAGAACGCAUGGGUGAUAUGGAAUCCUUAACUAAGCUGCUAGCUGAUGGGAUUGAAAAUGAGCAAUUUCUCUCUUCAAUUGGACAAUUAAAGCAUUGCAGAAGGUUAUCAUUGCAUGGAGACAGUUCGACGCCACCAAGUUCUUCUUUGAUUUCAACAGGUGUUUUGAAUUGGAAACGUUGGCUGCCAGCAUCUUUCAUUGAAUGGAUAUCAGUGAAACAUCUUGAGCUUUCUAAUAGUGGUUUGUCUGAUCGCGCAACUAACUGUGUUGAUUUCAGUGGUUUGUCUGCUCUAGAAAAAUUGGAUCUAACAGGAAACAAAUUCUCUAGGCUGCCUUCUGGGAUCGGCUUCCUUCCCAAGCUAACGUAUUUGUCUGUUGAGGGAUGCAAAUAUCUUGUAUCAAUCCCAGAUCUUCCCUCAAGUUUAGGGCAUUUGUUUGCAUGUGAUUGCAAAUCAUUGAAAAGAGUAAGAAUACCAAGCGAGCCAAAAAAAGGACUAUUUAUAAAGCUAGAUGACAGUCAUUCGUUAGAAGAGUUUCAGGGCAUUGAAGAUCUAAGUAAUUGUUUCUGGUAUAUUCGUGUUGAUGACCGCAGUCAUUCACCAAGUAAAUUACUAAAGAGCGUUGUUGAGGUACUAUUUCUUUCCGUCUCUCUUUCGCACAAAAAGAAACACACACAAUUGGCACAUACAUUGAUUAAUGUCUAAAAUCUCAGCAUUCCUUGAAAUCAAUAUGUAUAUAGGCAAUAAUUAUUAUUAUUAUUAUUAUAUUUUAAAAAACAAAUAUCAUGUUUUAUAAUAUUUUUUAUUUUUCUUAUUUAAUCUAAAAAAUUAAAUAUUAUCUUUAAUAAUAUUUUUUAUUAAAUAUUUAAAGUCUGAUUGGUUUUAUUUUUUAUUUCUUGAUUUUAUGAUAAUAUAUUUAUACAGUUAAUGUGCAACGGUCGUCACGGGUAUUUUAUUCGCCACACUCCUAGUGAGAUGCCAAACUGGAUGAGCUACAGGGGAGAAGGAUGCUCAUUGUCAUUCCAUAUACCUCCAGUCUUUCAAGGCUUAGUUGUUUGGUUUGAUAAGGAUGAUCAUUAUUACUUCCACACUGACAUUAUUAUUAUUAUAAGAAAUAAAAGCAACGGUAUUCAAUUGUUUGAAGAAGAACGAACAGUACCAGAAAAUGAAAACAAUACCUCCAAAUUAGUAGAACGAACAGUAUCAGAACGAACAGUACCUCCAAAUUAGUAGGGUACAUCUCUUUUUGCCGAGUUGAUAUGAAUUCGUUAGCUUGAUGAAAACAACCGAAAGUUCUGAAAGCAUCCUUAAUUAGUAUAAUUAGUAAAGUCUUGUUAGUUUUGGCUAUAAGUUUUUGUUAUGUAUUAUUGCAUGGUUUUUAUUAUUUGUUGGCCCUUGUUUUUUUUAUAUACAACUUUUAUUUUUAUUGUCGGUUUGUCAUUAGCUUUAUGGCACUAACACUUAUUAAUAAUAAAUCUUGGACUAUUAUUAAAUAAAGGAAAAAUAAAAACAUUGUUAAAAUACCAAACUUGCAUAUUUCAAACUUAGAGAAAGCCGAUGAUAAUAAUCCAAUUUAGAAAAUAAUUAAUUUGUCCUUGUAGUAUUAGAAAAUAGUAUUUAAUCCUUAUGUUUUCAUAUUCAUCUAUGAUUUAAUCUCUUACAUCCAUUUCAUUUUCUUAUUAUUUUAAUCCAAAAAAAACUAAAAAUCACAUAUCAUGAAUACCAAUUAGAACGGAAGUGAAGACCAAUUAGAAGACUAUAAUCCAUAAUUCUCUCUGCUUCUAAGAAUUCACAGUCCCUAUAAAUUUGACUGAGAAAGAAAGAACUGAAGACAAACACAUGUUAACCUCUCAAGAUUAGUGCCUCACAAAAGAACAAGAUAAAGGAAACACCGCAAUUUUUCAUGAUAAAAUCCAAAGGAUUGGUACUUUGGUGUUUGUGGCGCUGGUAUAUGAAAGAACAGAGAUCAAGAGAUGAAAUCCCUCUAUACCGCUGUUAUUCCUUUCAAGGUGCGUAUCAGGUGUUUGAAAAACUUCCUCAACUUAAAGUAGAAAGGUCUUGUUUACAACGUUUUUUAGUCCUUUUCAAGUCUUCCAAUGUGUUGCAUUUACUGAAUAUGAUAGUGGGAAUUUAGUUAUCACCUACUAUCUUCUAAGACGCAUCUCUGUCUCCUCUUCUUCUUUAUAAAAUUAUUCCCUUCUAGUUCUCUAAUGUACUUGAUGUCCCGGAAGUGUGGCUUCUUCAUAUGAAGAAUACGUUAAGAUUCAAUUAUGAUUUUAGAUUCCAUUGCCUACAAAUUUGAACCAUGAUAAUGUAGCAUACGGACCAGUCAUGCCUAUCUACAUUAAUUAGAAUAGGCCUCCACCCUCUUAGGUUUUUAUUGAGAUUAGGGAUUCUAUUGUAGCUCUUUUUUCUCCUUUUAUUAUAACAAAAUAAUAUGUAUGGAUUAAUUUUCGUAUACAGAAACUAAGUCCUUUAAUCAAAUUUUAGAUUGACCAUCCUCUAUUUUUUAACUGUUUGAUACUUGUUUAAAAAAAAUACUAGUAAUGAGGGCAUGAAAUUAAGAAGGUGUGUGGGAAUGUGGUUGUGGUUGUUUUUGAAAAUAUAUUUUACUUAAAAAUAUAUCAAAAUAUUAUUUUUUUUAUUUUUAAAAAUUAUUUUUAAUAUUAACAUAUUAAAAAUAAAACGGUUAAAGAUAAAGUCCCAAAACAUAUUCUGCCCUUCUCCCCAAUGAACGUGGGCAGGCUUGACAUUUACUCGUUUACAAAACUGAGCCCAGUGGCAAAGAGGCCUGCUUAUUAUGCCUUUAGCUGAGACUGCUGUAGAAAUAAGUAGGCCUGAUCAAUUGGACUAAAUUUUUGUUUUGCUGUAGAAACACGUUUUUCCUUUGUGAGAAAAAGCAAGUUCAAAAAAACAGAAGAAGCAGAAUUUGAAAAAAAGAAGAGAAAAAAGAAAGAUGCUUUAGUUUUUAAUCCAUAAUGUCCAAAGUGACUGGGUAGAUAAGAUCCAGCCCAUUUGGGUCCAUCAAAGUCAUUUGUGGUAGCUUAUGACUAAUGUGCCCAAAGGAUGGCGGUUCAGUAACGGUCCAAGUAAAGAAACUAAUCUGGAAAAGGAAAUCAUGCCCAUCAGAAUUCAGAAGAUCAUUCUGCGUCCAUUUCACAUUAGCAAAAUGAAUCAAAACACCCAUUAGAAUUUUGAAGUCAUGUAUCUUCGAUGAAUUGCAAGCCAUAUCCAAAAGUUUCAUCAUCCAUAUGCCAAGCAGCAUGCAUGCAUGCAAAAUAUGGUGAGACAGAGUCAUCAGAUAAAAAAGAAAAAUAGUAGUGGAAUAAUUCUUUUAAUAUUUAAAAAUUAAAAAAUACUGUGUAACUGUUUUGUAUAAAUUGUAAAGUCAAGGACUCUUUUGUGCUUGGUAAAAUACCUCACACUAAAAUUAAUAAAUAAUAACACGAGAAGGACCAAAGUUAAUAAAUAAUAGCAUGCACGAAACUUUACAAUACAGUAAAAAAAUUGUUACAGUAAAAGCACAGAGAGAAGAACGGUUCCAUAAAAAGAUGUGGUAAGUCUAAUGUUGGGAGACUGCUCUUCCAAGGAUCCUACGGUUGCGAGCCAUGUGAAUGCAAAAGGAGCCAGUUGUUGCAACUCCAAAUUCCUUGCUUUUUUUCCUCUACGUACGUGUUACCUUUAACCUUUUAUAAUUAUGAUUGUUGCGUUGCUAAUUAUAAUUUGCAAGAAAGAUGAUGAACAUCUUUUAGUGAAUUAAGUUCAAUUCAAAAUAACAAAAUAAGGUUUGUUGAGGCUUAUCUUCGAACCUCAUUUUAGGAUUAAUAGACGAAAAUCAAAAAGUCCUGUGCAAAUUAUACAAAAUUUAUUAUUAAUAAUCAAUAUUUAUGAUUGAUCAUCAACAUUAAAUAAUGGCUUAUUUUCUAGUAUAAACUAUGUUUGAAAUAAAAUUGAUAACAGACACACAAUUAAUGAUGGUAUUGUAUAUUUUGAGACGAAAUUAAGGUUUUUCAAUUAAUGCUAAAACAUAUCAUGGUUUUAAUAGUUGGAUGGUACAUUAUGUAAAAUAUAAAAAAAUAUUUAUUUUUUUGAUAUACAUAGUAAUAAUAAAUUAGAUGAUAAUAACAAAAAAAUAGAAAUUAGUUUGAAUAAAUAGUACCGGUUCAUAUUAUGAUAUAUCUAGAGAAGAAGUUGGAAGAAUAGAAUGAAAUCAAAUAUUAAUAUAAAAAAAAAUAUUGAAGUAAUGAGUACAUGAAGCAAGAUAAUUAGUGGUUGAAUAUAGAUUAUAACUAAUUAUUUGUUCUGAUGAAGAUUACCAAUUAAAUACAAACAAAAAAAAUGUUUCUAAAAUAAAAGGAUAUGAAUUAACUAUAGAAACUAAAGAGUGGAUCGGUUAUCUUUAACGUUUGCAAAUAAUUAAAAGAGAUAUAAAUUUUGUGAUGGGUUAUGAUUAACGCAGAAGCAAAUAAAAGAGGAACAGAAAUUAUAAGCAAAUAUUGUUUCCUGGGCGGAAGUGUUUGGCACUGUCGAUAAAAGUUUUUUGAAAAAAAUUAAUUUUAUUUUUAUUUUUUUAUUUUAAAUUAAUAUAUAUUUUAUGUUUUCAGAAUAUUUUGAUGUAUUAAUAUCAAAAAUAAUUAUUCAAAAAUAAAAAAAAAUCUAACCAUUAGAGCUUCUCUCUCAAUCGUCUUUCUUUUUUUUAAUAACUAGAUUAUUAAAAUUACAAGAAUUAAGUUAAUAUUUCAAAAAAUUUCAAAAAAAUAUUUUGUUUUCUUUUAGUAUCUGGGAUUAUGAAUUUAUACGUAAAAUGUAUUCUUGAUAUUAAAAAAAAAGAUAAGGAUCUUCUUACUGAGGAAGACUUAUCUUGAACCUUAGACAUACUAAUUAGAAAACAUGACAAUACCUUAAUUUUUCUCAGACAAUUAAACAAUGCAAUUGUGUAUUUGGGGUGCUAAUAUAUUUUUUUUUACACAAUCAGUUUUCAUGCUCGAUCUCUAAGAUUAAUUAGGGUUUCUAGUAACUAAAAUACUAAGUAAAUAUUUUCUAGUAAAUUAAUUUCAAUUCAAAAUAACAAAAUAAGGUUUGUUGAGGCUUAUCGUGAAACCUUGUUUUGGAUGAAUUGAUCACGAGAAUGAGAAAUCAUGUGUAAAUUAUACAAAAUAUAUUAUUAAUCAUCAAUAUUUAUUAUUGAUUAUCAAUAUUGAAUAAUGGUUUUUUAUAAUAUAAAUUAUGUUUAAAAUAAAAUUGAUAAAAUUAAAAUUCAUGAAACACAAUUAAUGAUGGGAUCUACAUCUUUUGAAUUUAUUAGAAUGAACGUGUAAUUAAAGGACGAACCACAUACCAUUACAUGCGUUUUCAAUUGGAUUUUUUAUUUAAAUGAAAAAAAAUCUGUUUUAUAUGAAAAAAAUAUUUAUUUUUUUGAUAUACCUAAUAAUAAUAAAUUAGAGAAUAGUAACAAGAAAAUAGGAAUUAGAUAGACUAAACGGUACCAAUACUAUAUUCUUAAUAAAAAAAAUAUUUUUAAUAAAUAUAAAAGAUGGAUGAAAAUUGUUGCUACUCGAUUUUUUACCUAUAUUUUAAAUAAUUUUUCAGAAAAAAAUCAAAAUAGUAAAAACACAACGAAAAUCUCAAAAAAUGUAUUUUUGAUAUAUUUGUAUUGUUUUUAGCAUUUUUAAUAUUAUCUCAAAAAAAUUUUAAUUUUCAAAAGUAUUUUAAACGCGUUUAAUUUUUAAUGCGUAAAAUUUACAAUUACUGAUUUGCCUUAUUAAGUUGAUAUUGAUAUGAUUUGUUUUUAAAAAAAUUCAAAAUAUAACAAAUAAAAAAAUAUCAAAAUUUAUAUAUAUAAAAAAAAAUGAGGAACCAGUUUGGAAAUCUAAUAAGAUUUUGGCUAUAAAUACAGUGAAAAAUGUCAACAUCCGGGGGGAAUUGAGAGGAAUAGUGGCGUAGAAAAUUUUGGGGGGAAACAAAAGUAAAGAACCCUAGACCUCUUCCUUUUGGCAGUGUGGUAGUGGUUGCUUUUCAAAUAAUUUUUCGUGCCGAAAUACAUGCCAAUGAUAUUUUUUUAUUUUUUAAAAAUCAUUUUUGACAUCAGCACAUCAAAACGAUCCAAAAAAUACAAACCACACUCAAUUUUAACAAAAAAAAAAACAAAUUUGAAAUUUGGUGAAAAGCAGGUUGAACAGCAGAGCCAAACAUGCUAGACAGGAGCCGCCGCCUCCCUCUCAAAAAAUCCAGAGAAACCCUCCCUCUCUAAAAAAAAACAGGAGAAACCCUACUUUGGGGUUUUGAACUUUCGGCUUCUUCUCCCUGCAGCCGGACAAGGCUGCCCCCUCGCUUUGCCAAAAACGAGGAGAACCCCACAAAACACACAGACCCCCCCCCCCCAAAAAAAAAAAAAAAACCAUCCCCAGAGAAACCAACCCCCAGCCGGCGACCCCCAGCCUUAACAACAAAGAAAGACACGGCUGGUCCCCCCUCUCCACUGAUCUUCUCCCUCACCAACCUUCCCCUCUCUCGGCCGCUCACUUCCCCUCCGUCAAAAACAGAGACCGGCCGCCCCCCCCCUCUCCUUUGAGGCCAGGAACCAGAGAAACCAGAGAGCUCCGGACAGGCCUCCCUCUCCCUCGACCACAACCUCCAUCCUCCCUCUCUGUAAUCCAGCCCCCACAAACCCACAAGACAGCCCCGGCUCCCUUCCUCAUCGCCGUUUUCUCCAACUCUGACCGACCCCUCUCUCAGCCACCGAGAACGCCGCCUAGCAGCCCGCAGGCCCUCGUCCUCACCAAGACCCGAACCGGCCACCGGCAGCUGUACAGACACGACAGAAGCUCCGCCGCCGGCCGCCCCUUGCACAUACCGUCGGCCACCUGAAACAGAAGGUGAAAAAAAAAGAAAAAAACAGAUCUGCAGAAGAAACAGAUCUGAAACAAGGGAAGACCGAAACAGAUCUAAAGAAGAAGAAUAAAAAUCAACUGCUUUGUUGCGUUUUUGGUUGUUCUUGCAGGUCACUGCCGAGGAAAGGAAGAGGAGGAGAAGUUAAGCCAGAUCCACAUGUUCACAGUUUCUGCUUGCGGUGACGCGUGAACCCACACGCCGCCAGUGGCAUGGUGCGUGGAGAAGACGCUCCGCCACUGUUCCCAUCCCCAGAACCCUUUCAGCACUGUUCCCGAGGUUUUUUUUUAUUUAAUUUUCAGAUGUUGAUAUGUGUUUUUAGAUUAUUUUUAUUUGAUUUAUUUUGAAUUCUUGGUAUUUUGUAAUAUGGAAAUGUGGGUGCACGAGAAAAACAUAAUAAAAAGGAAUUUAUGUGUUUGUAUUUUUUUUAUGUAAGUUAUUGAAUUAUAAAAUCAGAAAGAUAAAAAAAAAUAAAUUUAAUGUUUUAAUUUGUAUAUGGUCAAGUAUAUGAUGAUAAUUAAAAUUAUGUUGUAUUUUUCAUAUUUUUCAUAAAAAUAUAAGAACAUGUUUCUAUAUAUUUUCUGGUGGAAGCUUUAAAAUUUGAUUAAUAUUUUAUUUUUUAAAAUUGUAUCUUCAAAUUAAAUUAUGAAGCAACUUAUCUCAGGUAAGAUGUGUUAGAGGUGUUAAUAUUUUUUCAAUUAUAAUCAAUUUUUUAUCCUUGAAUCUUUGACAAGACUAACAUAUCCAGGUUUUUUAGUAGGUGAUGACUUUCAAGAACAAGCAAACGAAGAAAAUCACUAAUUGACGCCGUGCAGGGAACGUGCGACAAAAAUAUUAGAGAAUAAAAUUGAGAUAUAGAAUCUCUUUUUUAUAUUUCUAAAAACUUAAUUUCUGUUGUAACCUAUUUUUGAGUCCCACACUAAAAUGGAGAAUAAACAAAUUUGGAAGAAAUCUAAAAAAAUAAUAGCAAUGAGAAGAGGAUGCCGAAACACCUAGAAAAUAGCUAGAAAUUGGUUGAGGAGGUUCAAAAAUACAAAAAUUAAAAUUUGACAGUAUAUAUUUGACUGAUGAGAGCUCUAUUGAAAAAGAAAAUUUAAUUUGAGAAAAAAAAGUUUAAAAUCAGAUGUUUAUGGAUUUAAUUAAUUUUAUUGAAGGAUUUAUAAAGAGUUUGAUUGCAAGAAAAAUUGAUUUUUAAGUCAAUUUAGACUUUAAUUGAAAGAAAUUAAAGUUCUGAGGUCAAAUUACAAUUUUUAAGAGUUAAUUUGGUCAAAUUAGGAGUUUAAUUACAUAAAUAUUAAAGUUUGAUGGCUAAUUAGGGACUUGUUUAAAUAAAUCCAAAACUAAUGACCAAAAGUUCUAUAACUCUAGAUAUAGUUAACAAUCUGAUGAGUGUUCAGACAGUAACAGUUCAAUGUCGAGACAGUAACAGUUGGACAAUAACAGUUAGACAGUAACAGUUCAAUGUUUAGACAGUAACAGUUGGACAGUAACAGUUCAAUAUCUAGACAGUAACGGUUGGACAGUAACAGUUCAAUGUCUAGACAGUAACAGUUCAAAUUAGACAGUAACAAUUAGACUUUCACGUGAAUACUAUAUGUAAGAAUAUAAAAGAACUGAGUCAUGCGAACACUUGCACGUUGAGACACUUAUGCAAUUUAAAGUUCUUCUGGUGAAUGCAAUUACAAUAAAUACCAUGUUCAAUGUAAAUAAAGUCCAGCGUAUUUACAAGAUUAGCUACAGCUAAUGGCAUCCGUGAUAGGAUUGCCGGGAAAUGAAUUACAAGAGUAGCUUGGGCUAAUAAUGUCCAUGUUGGGACGCCCGAGAACGAUUGAUAAGACUUGAUUUGUAAAGGGUAUCAAUGUUUGAAUGACUUGGGAAAUUGAUAAAUAUAAGUUGACUGUUAUAAUUCUUAUGGAUCCGAUAGAAAAUUUAUACUUCAUUCGUAUACCUUACAUGUGCACAUAUAUAUUUCUUUUGCAAACAUAAUGGUAUGUUUAUUUAUGUAACAAGGCCAUCAAAUAUCCAAGGAGAUCAUUAGUUUAGGGCUCUAUUUUGUCAAUCUUAUGUAAAUAUUUAACUUAAGCAUAAUGGAAUUAACGUGUUUAUGCAGUAUGCUUUUGUGUAAACCUUGAUGUAUUUAUAAAAGUCCAGCUUAACAUGUAGUACAUUAGUUAUCUUGUAAUUAACCCUCUUGAAAUGUUUAAGAAUACUUAAUAAAUUGUAAAUGCUCUCUUUGCAUGUUAUUCCCUUUUCUUUUAAAUUUUAUGACAUGAUAUAUAGGCUAUGUUCAUAUUGAACUUACUAGUAGGAUAUAUAUAUAUAUAUAUAUAUAUAUAUAUAUAUAUAUAUAUAUAUAUAUAUAUAUAUAUAUAUAUAUAUAUAUAUUGUGUGGAUUGUAUGAGUUGUUGAAUAUUGAUAAUUGAAAUAAGGUCUGGAAUUAUGGGACCUUGUGAUGAUGGGUUGAUUGAGUAAAUUGGUAGUAGUCGAUAAUUUGGAAUGUCCUAAAUACAAACGAAACUUUGCCGAAUUUUUGGUAGAUUUAAAAAAAAAAAAUUACCCUCAAAUUAAGAACAUAUGUUGGGAUCUUUUAACGUUGAUCAAGUCGUACAGUCGGGUCUGUUACAUAUACCGUAAAGAUACAAAUCCAGUAUUAAAAUACGUGGUUUUCACCAAAAUAUUGCAAAAGUUAAAUAAAAGAAAUAUAUUAUUUUCAUGCAUAUGGCCAACUCUUUAAAAAAAAAUUAUCAUAUCGUAUUUUCAUACCAUAAAAAAAAUCUCAAAAAUAUUUGUUAGCAUGCAUUUUGGCUUUAAUAACUAGUUUGUUAAAGUCAUGAGAACUAUGCUAACAUUUUAAAAAUUUCAAAAAAAUUAUCUUGUUUUAUUUUAAUAUCCGGGAUUAUGAACUUAAUCGUAAGUCGUACUCCUAAUAUUAAAAUUAGUUUCUUUGGUUGAUAUAGAACGGUUAGGUUUUACCCAAUUAGAUAAUAAUCUCUUUAUCGAGGAAAAUUUUUCUUAAACCAUAGACAGACCAACAACUAGAAAACACAAUGAUACCUUAGCCUAUAUCAGACAAUAAAACAAUGCAGCUUACCUUAGGUAGGGCGUAUUUUGGGUGCUAAUACUUUUUUUUUACGCAAUCAGUCUCCGUACCCGAUCUUUGAGACCAAUUAGGGUUUCAGUUACCAAAAUACUAGGUGGUGACUCUCAUUUUUCCAUUCCACUGAUAAAAGACAAGAUUUUCUUGCCUCCCUAUAUUUGCCAGAUAGACAUACAUGAGAGUGGAUGUUAUUCACCGUGACACCGCACACGUGUCACAAUUACAAUUCCAUUAUAAUUUGUUCCUUAAAAGUAUUCAAAAUAUAGUAUUAGAAUUACGUAAUGCUAGGUUUUAAUAUAUAAUUUUUUAUAUUGUUAAAGAGUCUCUCCUGGACCAAAUAAUAAAAAUAUUGUAUAACUCUUAUGUAUGAAUCGUAAAUCCAGGGAUUGUUUUGGAUCCUGAAUUGGCUGAUUUGAUUUGAAUAUAUUAUAUGAUUAGUCCAUUUAUAGGUUAACUCUACUAUUGCUGCCUUGCAUUGACUUUACUCUGCAGCUAACUUCUCUGUCCCAUUGCUGCCAUUUCAUAGCUAACUCUUUGUUAUAUUUAACUUUCUCUUCUUUGCUUCUUUCUCGUUUUAAUUUCAUUUCUUGCUCAUAACGAUAACUUGAAAGCCUCACGUUCAGAUAGAUAAUCAUUGACCAGUUCAUCCUAUAUCAUUCUAUUUAAUUUAGAAAUGCAGAAAGAAAAACGCAAGCAAUCCAAAGAUGAAGAAAACGAUUCAUCCUCGCGAAAGAGAAGAAAAGCUGACCUCAGUAAGCCUGUCAGUUUUGUCUCCACAGGUAAGGCAGAUGCGUGAGUCUAUACAUGUAGGAACUGCUGAUUCGAUUUGAAUAUGUUAUUUGAUUAGUCUGAUCAUAGGACAGGUUGAGUCUACUACUAUUUCUGCCUUGCUUUGACUCGAAAUUCCUGGUGUUUUCUCCUGCAAAUGAAUAGAAAUCACAUCCUUUCUCUUUCUCCUAUACAAAGAAUACAAUUAACCUCAUUUCAAUAUCAUAGCUUUGGAAUUUCAUAGCUAACUCUUUGUUAUGUUGUUCCAUUGGUAAUUGAUUGUGCCUUAAUUUCUGCAGCUACCAUGACAGAGCCAGAGUCUUCUCGAUCUAGACCAGAAGGGGCCUAUGAUGUCUUCUUGAGUUUUAGAGGAGAAGACACUCGCAAGACAUUUACAGAUCAUCUAUAUAGUGCCUUAGUCCAAGCAGGAAUCCACGCUUUUCGAGAUGAUGAUGACCUUCCAAGAGGAGAAGAAAUCUCCGAUCAUCUCCUCAGGGCAAUUCAAGAAUCAAAGAUAUCCAUAGUUGUCUUCUCAAAAGGAUAUGCUUCUUCUAGAUGGUGUCUCAAUGAACUUGUAGAGAUUCUUGAGUGCAAAAAUAGAAAAACCGGUCAGAUUGUUCUUCCUAUAUUCUAUCACAUUGAUCCUUCAGAUGUGAGAAAACAGAAUGGCAGUUUUGCAGAAGCAUUUGCUAACAAUGAAGAGCGUUUUGAAGAGAAGUUGGUGAAGGAGUGGAGAAAAGCUCUUGAGGAGGCUGGAAAUCUAUCUGGAUGGAAUCUCAAUCAUAUGGCAAAUGGGUAUGCCUUUUUUUCUCUAAGAUUCUCUUGCACACAUUUAUGGAGUCAUUAUACUUUACAUUUUUCAAUGUGAAACAAUAAAAUACUUAAUUGACUCGCUAUUAAUGACUUGCUUUUGUCUAUGAGCAGGCAUGAAGCAAAAUUUAUCAAAGAGAUUAUCAAGGAUGUGUUGAAUAAAUUAGAUCCCAAGUACUUCUAUGUUCCUGAGCACCUAGUAGGUAUGGAUCGGCUUGCUCACAAUAUUUUUGACUUUCUAAGUACUGCAACAGAUCAUGUACGCAUUGUGGGCAUACACGGGAUGCCAGGAAUAGGAAAGACGACUAUAGCAAAAGUUGUAUUUAAUCAACUCUGCUAUGGAUUCGAGGGAAGCUGUUUUCUUUCGAAUAUCAAUGAAACAUCAAAACAAUUUAAUGGUCUGGCUCUUUUACAAAGGCAACUUCUUCAUGAUAUUUUAAAACAGGAUGCUGCAAACAUCAAUUGUGAUGAUAGAGGAAAGGUUCUGAUCAAAGAACGACUUCGUCGCAAAAGAGUUGUUGUGGUUGCUGAUGAUGUUGCUCAUCAGGACCAGCUAAAAGCUUUGAUGGGAGAGCGAAGCUGGUUUGGUCCCGGAAGUAUAGUAAUUAUUACAACAAGAGAUUCAAAUCUUCUUCGUGAAGCAGAUCAAACAUAUCCGAUCAAAGAAUUGACACGAGAUCAGUCCCUUCGGCUUUUCAGCUGGCAUGCCUUUAAGGACACCAAGCCAGCAGAAGCUUAUAUUGAGCUUUCGAAGGAUGCAGUUGAUUACUGUGGAGGACUUCCUUUAGCUCUUGAGGUUAUAGGAGCUUGUCUGUACGGGAAAAGCAAAGAUAGAUGGAAAAGUGAAAUUGACAACUUGAGCAGAAUUCCAGAAAACAAUAUUCAAGGAAAGCUUCUAAUAAGUUUUGACGCACUGGAUGGUGAGCUACAAAAUGCAUUCCUUGAUAUUGCAUGCUUCUUUACUGAUGUAGAGAAAGAAUACGUCGCAAAAGUGCUAGGAGCCCGUAGCUGUUACAAUCCAGAAGUUGUUUUGGAAACUCUCUGUGAAAGGUCUCUUAUUAAAGUAUUUGGAGAGAUGGUAACCAUGCAUGAUCUAUUACGAGAGAUGGGAAGGGAGGUCGUUCGUAAAGCGUCUCCCAAACAACCUGGAGAGAGGACCAGAAUUUGGAAUCAAGAGGAUGCGUGGAAUGUACUUGACCAGCAGAAGGUAAGAGCUCAAUGCAUACACGUAGCCAUGCGUAUUUUCUAGUCAAACUUAUUACAAAUAAUCAUAUGAAAGUUUUAUUGUUUUUUUUUUAGGGUACGGAUGCUAUAGAGGGUCUUGCACUGGAUAUGAGAGCAUCAGAAGCUAAAUCACUAAGCACAGGAUCAUUUGCAAAAAUGAAACGCUUAACUUUACUCCAAAUCAAUGGAGCACAUCUCACUGGAUCCUUCAAACUGCUUUCUAAAGAGUUGAUGUGGAUUUGUUGGCAUGAAUGUCCUUUAAAAUAUUUGCCAUCUGAUUUUACCUUAGAAAAUCUAGUUGUUCUUGAUAUACAGUACAGUAACCUCAAAGAACUAUGGAAGGGAGAAAAGGUA
rnacentral:lncRNA from 1 species